UACGUAGGGGGCUAGCGUUGUCCGGAAUCAUUGGGCGUAAAGAGCGUGUAGGCGGCCAGGUAGGUCUGCUGUGAAAACUCGAGGCUUAACCUCGAGCUGUCGGCGGAAACCAUCUGGCUAGAGUCCGGAAGAGGAGAAUGGAAUUCCCGGUGUAGCGGUGAAAAUGCGCAGAUAUCGGGAAGAACACCCGUGGCGAAGGCGGUUCUCUGGGACGGUACUGACGCUGAGACGCGAAAGCGUGGGGAGCGAACAGG
rnacentral:rRNA from 1 species